GGGUUGUGAGGUUAAGCGACUAAGCGUACACGGUGGAUGCCCUGGCAGUCAGAGGCGAUGAAGGACGUGCUAAUCUGCGAUAAGCGUCGGUAAGGUGAUAUGAACCGUUAUAACCGGCGAUUUCCGAAUGGGGAAACCCAGUGUGAUUCGUCACACUAUCAUUAACUGAAUCCAUAGGUUAAUGAGGCGAACCGGGGGAACUGAAACAUCUAAGUACCCCGAGGAAAAGAAAUCAACCGAGAUUCCCCCAGUAGCGGCGAGCGAACGGGGAGCAGCCCAGAGCCUGAAUCAGUGUGUGUGUUAGUGGAAGCGUCUGGAAAGGCGCGCGAUACAGGGUGACAGCCCCGUACACAAAAAUGCACAUGCUGUGAGCUCGAUGAGUAGGGCGGGACACGUGGUAUCCUGUCUGAAUAUGGGGGGACCAUCCUCCAAGGCUAAAUACUCCUGACUGACCGAUAGUGAACCAGUACCGUGAGGGAAAGGCGAAAAGAACCCCGGCGAGGGGAGUGAAAAAGAACCUGAAACCGUGUACGUACAAGCAGUGGGAGCACGCUUAGGCGUGUGACUGCGUACCUUUUGUAUAAUGGGUCAGCGACUUAUAUUCUGUAGCAAGGUUAACCGAAUAGGGGAGCCGAAGGGAAACCGAGUCUUAACUGGGCGUUAAGUUGCAGGGUAUAGACCCGAAACCCGGUGAUCUAGCCAUGGGCAGGUUGAAGGUUGGGUAACACUAACUGGAGGACCGAACCGACUAAUGUUGAAAAAUUAGCGGAUGACUUGUGGCUGGGGGUGAAAGGCCAAUCAAACCGGGAGAUAGCUGGUUCUCCCCGAAAGCUAUUUAGGUAGCGCCUCGUGAAUUCAUCUCCGGGGGUAGAGCACUGUUUCGGCAAGGGGGUCAUCCCGACUUACCAACCCGAUGCAAACUGCGAAUACCGGAGAAUGUUAUCACGGGAGACACACGGCGGGUGCUAACGUCCGUCGUGAAGAGGGAAACAACCCAGACCGCCAGCUAAGGUCCCAAAGUCAUGGUUAAGUGGGAAACGAUGUGGGAAGGCCCAGACAGCCAGGAUGUUGGCUUAGAAGCAGCCAUCAUUUAAAGAAAGCGUAAUAGCUCACUGGUCGAGUCGGCCUGCGCGGAAGAUGUAACGGGGCUAAACCAUGCACCGAAGCUGCGGCAGCGACGCUUAUGCGUUGUUGGGUAGGGGAGCGUUCUGUAAGCCUGCGAAGGUGUGCUGUGAGGCAUGCUGGAGGUAUCAGAAGUGCGAAUGCUGACAUAAGUAACGAUAAAGCGGGUGAAAAGCCCGCUCGCCGGAAGACCAAGGGUUCCUGUCCAACGUUAAUCGGGGCAGGGUGAGUCGACCCCUAAGGCGAGGCCGAAAGGCGUAGUCGAUGGGAAACAGGUUAAUAUUCCUGUACUUGGUGUUACUGCGAAGGGGGGACGGAGAAGGCUAUGUUGGCCGGGCGACGGUUGUCCCGGUUUAAGCGUGUAGGCUGGUUUUCCAGGCAAAUCCGGAAAACUAAGGCUGAGGCGUGAUGACGAGGCACUACGGUGCUGAAGCAACAAAUGCCCUGCUUCCAGGAAAAGCCUCUAAGCAUCAGGUAACAUCAAAUCGUACCCCAAACCGACACAGGUGGUCAGGUAGAGAAUACCAAGGCGCUUGAGAGAACUCGGGUGAAGGAACUAGGCAAAAUGGUGCCGUAACUUCGGGAGAAGGCACGCUGAUAUGUAGGUGAAGUCCCUCGCGGAUGGAGCUGAAAUCAGUCGAAGAUACCAGCUGGCUGCAACUGUUUAUUAAAAACACAGCACUGUGCAAACACGAAAGUGGACGUAUACGGUGUGACGCCUGCCCGGUGCCGGAAGGUUAAUUGAUGGGGUCAGCGCAAGCGAAGCUCUUGAUCGAAGCCCCGGUAAACGGCGGCCGUAACUAUAACGGUCCUAAGGUAGCGAAAUUCCUUGUCGGGUAAGUUCCGACCUGCACGAAUGGCGUAAUGAUGGCCAGGCUGUCUCCACCCGAGACUCAGUGAAAUUGAACUCGCUGUGAAGAUGCAGUGUACCCGCGGCAAGACGGAAAGACCCCGUGAACCUUUACUAUAGCUUGACACUGAACAUUGAGCCUUGAUGUGUAGGAUAGGUGGGAGGCUUUGAAGUGUGGACGCCAGUCUGCAUGGAGCCGACCUUGAAAUACCACCCUUUAAUGUUUGAUGUUCUAACGUUGACCCGUGAUCCGGGUUGCGGACAGUGUCUGGUGGGUAGUUUGACUGGGGCGGUCUCCUCCUAAAGAGUAACGGAGGAGCACGAAGGUUGGCUAAUCCUGGUCGGACAUCAGGAGGUUAGUGCAAUGGCAUAAGCCAGCUUGACUGCGAGCGUGACGGCGCGAGCAGGUGCGAAAGCAGGUCAUAGUGAUCCGGUGGUUCUGAAUGGAAGGGCCAUCGCUCAACGGAUAAAAGGUACUCCGGGGAUAACAGGCUGAUACCGCCCAAGAGUUCAUAUCGACGGCGGUGUUUGGCACCUCGAUGUCGGCUCAUCACAUCCUGGGGCUGAAGUAGGUCCCAAGGGUAUGGCUGUUCGCCAUUUAAAGUGGUACGCGAGCUGGGUUUAGAACGUCGUGAGACAGUUCGGUCCCUAUCUGCCGUGGGCGCUGGAGAACUGAGGGGGGCUGCUCCUAGUACGAGAGGACCGGAGUGGACGCAUCACUGGUGUUCGGGUUGUCAUGCCAAUGGCACUGCCCGGUAGCUAAAUGCGGAAGAGAUAAGUGCUGAAAGCAUCUAAGCACGAAACUUGCCCCGAGAUGAGUUCUCCCUGACUCCUUGAGAGUCCUGAAGGAACGUUGAAGACGACGACGUUGAUAGGCCGGGUGUGUAAGCGCAGCGAUGCGUUGAGCUAACCGGUACUAAUGAACCGUGAGGCUUAACCUUACAACGCCGAAGGUGUUU
rnacentral:rRNA from 1 species